rnacentral:lncRNA from 1 species
UAUGAGCCUUUCUAGGCAGCUUUGUUAGGCUUGACUACAUAAUGAGUGCUGAAAUAAGUGAUACACACUAAUGCACAAAAAAAUUAGUUUGGGAAAGAUUGGGAAAAUUCAUAAAUGUUUUCUGAAUAAAUUGUAACUUACAUAUUGUAAGUCUGGGAAUAUCAUGAUCACCUUUGUGUUUUAGAAAUGUAAUAUGGCCACAAUAUGAAAGACAGACUAGAAUGAAAGGAAUGGUGGAAAAGGAAAUGAGGGGAUUGAUGCAGUUAAUCCGUAUUUUUAACUGAAAAGAGCUAUAUGGUAGUUUUGUACAUAGGUUAUAGUAUAUAGCCUUGAAUAUUCUAACUGAAACCAUAAACUGAUUCCUGUAUUUAUAAGCUGCCAUUAUGUGAUAUGAUAACGUUUACUGGCCAAUAUUUUCAUUAAAACUAUUUGGUAGUGCUAGCCAAAGACAGUCAACAAAUACUAGUCUAGAAAGAUAUUUCUCUUUGGAUAAAUAUGUGAGGGAGACAAUAUAAAACAAAAGUUCACAUGGAACAUACAUUAAUAAAAUACUGCAGAAGCAAAAAAAAGUGAAUCAUUCAAAAAUGAAAAGGGUACAAGACAAAAAUAAAAGUUAAAGAAAAACCAAAUGCAUGAGAGAUUAUCUCAGUGGAUUUGACUUAAUCUCUUGAACCACUUUCUAAAAAGAGUUUUAGUUGGCUAGUUGCAGAAAAGAAAAUCAGAGUUUCAAAGCUUUAAGGGGAUUCAAUGUGCCACUGAUGACUUGUAGAUGGAGGGGUACAUAUGAAAAGGGCUUCAGAGUGGCCUCCAGGAGUUAGGAGCAACCACCAGUCAACAGCCAGCCAGAAACAGAGGUCUUGGUCAUCUAAGCACAAGAAAUUGUAUUCUGCCAACAAGAAGAUUUAGCUGACCAUGAGAAUGAUUUUUUUCCUAGAGCUUCCAGAUGAGGACUCAGUCAUCAGACACCCAGAUUAUAGCCCUGUGGUACCCUAGUUAAAGAACUAAGCUAUUCCAUGUCAGAGUUUUGACCAACAGUACUAUAGGCUAAUAAAUAGGUGUGACUGUAGGCUGUUAAGUUUGUGUCCAUUUGCUAUGAAGCAAUAGAAAACAGGCAGCAUGCUCUGUUUUUUCUACUCUUGCAUCACCUUGGUCUUUCUGUUCUCCUCCAUUCAUUAAUAAAUUGCUUCUGGUUCCUCUAGGUACUAGGCUGUGGGUAGGGGAAGGUAGGAAGGUUGAGAAGAAAGUUGGGGUGUUUUUAAAAUGACUUAAGUUCAGCUGUCUUCCGAGUUCAUGGGAAAAUAAGCCAUUCUUUUUCUGCCAAACGGUGGUAUUAAGGCUUGCAGGAUGAAAUAUUUUGCUUCUGACUUCUCCAGCUGAGAAGCAGGCAUAAUUUUCUGUGAUUAUUAAUAUUGCAAACUCUAGAAAAUGCAAGCUAGCCUUCCCAGAAAUUUUCUCACUGUUCUACACUCCAAUUGCCCUAAGGGAAAUAGAGGGUGAAGACUGUCUUUCCUUCUCAGAGGCACUCCCAAUUUCUAUGCGUGAUUCUCUUGGGUCACCCUCAUGUCACCAGGGAAUGAAAUAUUCCCCAUCUUACUCCAUGCAGAAAGGAGGAGAAAAGCCAGGACAUGUUCUGUAUUCCUAUGUAUUCCCAUUAACCACUAGCUUUCUCUUACAUAUGUUCAUUAGGGGAUGAACAAGAAUAUUGGAAAGAUUGGUAAAAUCUUGUAGGGACAUUUCUAGAUGAUUUCUAUGAUUGUUUGGGAUAUUUGCAAUCUGUCCUUAGUUUUGAUUCCUCUGUGAAUUGAGGUAAAAUUCCCAUUUAAAAUCCUGUUGCAAAUUCUACUUUGCGAAAGUAAAAACCACCACCCUGUGCUCUAUGAAAGUUCCUUUCUUGCCUACUGAUAAUAGUUUGGUUCUCUCGAGUUAAAAUAUAGCUUUAUUUUCAGAUAUUUAAAAUAUCUGCUUUUUAUUUUCUAAAAAUCACUCUAACUACUUGGUGGAGAGUAGACUGCAGGAGGAUGAAAUUGGACCCUGCAAUACAGAUACACUUGAGGUAAUCUAGACCUUCC